rnacentral:tRNA from 1 species
CCCUCGUGACCUGCACCAUCGUGGUCCUCGCUAACGGCCUCCGGAGCCGUGUGCGCAGGUUCGAAUCCUGCCGGGGGCA